rnacentral:rRNA from 1 species
CCUACGGGUGGCAGCAGUGAGGAAUAUUGGUCAAUGGACGAGAGUCUGAACCAGCCAAGUAGCGUGAAGGAUGACUGCCCUAUGGGUUGUAAACUUCUUUUAUAUGGGAAUAAAAUGUUCCACGUGUGGGAUUUUGUAUGUACCAUAUGAAUAAGGAUCGGCUAACUCCGUGCCAGCAGCCGCGGUAAUACGGAGGAUCCGAGCGUUAUCCGGAUUUAUUGGGUUUAAAGGGAGCGUAGGUGGAUUGUUAAGUCAGUUGUGAAAGUUUGCGGCUCAACCGUAAAAUUGCAGUUGAAACUGGCAGUCUUGAGUACAGUAGAGGUGGGCGGAAUGCGUGGUGUAGCGGUGAAAUGCUUAGAUAUCGCGAAGAACUCCGAUUGCGAAGGCAGUUCACUGGACUGCAACUGACACUGAGGCUCGAAAGUGUGGGUAUCAAACAGGAUUAGAUACCCCAGUAGUC